AUACGGAGGGUCCAAGCGUUAUCCGGAAUCAUUGGGUUUAAAGGGUCCGCAGGCGGUCAAUUAAGUCAGAGGUGAAAGCCCAUCGCUCAACGAUGGAACUGCCUUUGAUACCGGUUGACUUGAGUUAUACGGAAGUAGAUAGAAUAAGUAGAGUAGCGGUGAAAUGCAUAGAUAUUACUUAGAAUACCGAUUGCGAAGGCAGUCUACUACGUAUAUACUGACGCUGAGGGACGAAAGCGUGGGGAGCGAACAGGAUUAGAAACCCCAGUAGUCC
rnacentral:rRNA from 1 species